AGAAACUCGGCGGAUGAGAACGAAUACCGGGGCUUUCCUGCUCCAACACUUCAAACAGCCGCAGCCGAGCUCGAACAGCUAAGACGAGUUGGCUUGGGAACUCACUGGAGAACCGGGAAAGAAGAAGAAAAAGAAGAAGAGGAAGGAGGGAGAGAGCGAAAGAGGGGUGAAAAACAGCCCCAGGGCUGGAGGGAAGAUAUUGUAUGCAUGUGCACUCAAGCACAAGGUUUGUGGCCAGCUGCUUAAGGAUUUUUUUUCUUUUUCUGGGGAGUCAAGAUUAUCCACAGAGUCAAUAGAGUGAGGGAGGAAGAUGAGGAGAGAGAGGCUGCUUAUGCCAGUGUUACUCAAUUCUGCUGCUGGGGGGAACAGAGAGACACUGUCAGCACUGUUUUGUUUUAUACUCUUUAGUGCAGGACACACAAACCCUCUUACGCACAGAUCUGUGAGAAUUAAUUUUGAACUCAGUACACCUUGAUAAAUCUUUACAACCGGAUUGGAGACCAUGAAUCUCUUCAGGUCCUGCAUGGCACAUUCGCUUUUAAGCUCCAAAUCCCUCCUACCCGUCACUUUCUUUCUAACGAUGACGCCUCUCAGGACGUUAUAUUUUAAUAUUUCUCAGUUUCUUUUCCAGCUUUAUUUUAUUUUUUUAUUAUUUUGAUGUAUUAAACGUGACUGAGGGGGGGAGAAGGCGCCGGCGUUUCCUCGUCCCGGUUUGAAACUGAGCAGUUGCCAAGGUUGCGGCUUCCACAUUUUCACAGCCAUGCCUGUCAAAGGGCUGAAAGGGGGGCUAAAGCCCUUGGAAAAAAAAUAAAUAAAAAAACAAAA